GUGCAGGAUGUGCCAGGAACCUAACUAUUGUGCUUUAAACAUACAUGACAUCUGUUUUUCUCAUAAAGAGGAAAUCCAGAGGUGAGAAGUGCAGAGCUCUUGCAGGAGAUUGGGGAAAUUGUUGAUCUGAGGUCUCUCUAACUUGCUUCUCCACCUUCCUUGACAGGAAGGGCUCUUCCUUAUGGUUGAAAGAGGACAUUGCAAUUACGUUCAAGUAGGAAGAGGGAGACAGUCAAUAGAUAAAAUGUUCUCCCUCUUCUGGAGUCUAUUUAUUGGAAAAAUAUAGCUGAGAACGAACCUUUGCCAGUGGAACUUCAUCAGAUAACUUGGGGAAAUGGGUACUUGUCAUCCUAAGCAAAAAUCAGGUUAUGCUGGAAAUAAAACACCCU
rnacentral:lncRNA from 1 species